CCUACGGGUGGCAGCAGUGAGGAAUAUUGGUCAAUGGGCGCGAGCCUGAACCAGCCAAGUAGCGUGAAGGAUGACUGCCCUAUGGGUUGUAAACUUCUUUUAUAAAGGAAUAAAGUGAGGCACGUGUGCCCUUUUGUAUGUACUUUAUGAAUAAGGAUCGGCUAACCCCGUUCCAGCAGCCGUGGUAAUACGGAGGGUCCGAGCGUUAUCCGGAUUUAUUGGGUUUAAAGGGAGCGUAGAUGGGUUGUUAAGUCAGUUGUGAAAGUUUGCGGUUCAACCGUAAAAUUGCAGUUGAUACUGGGAGUCUUGAGUACAGUAGAGGUAUGCGGAAUUCGUGGUGUAGCGGUGAAAUGCAUAGAUAUCACGAAGAACUCCGAUUGCGAAGGCAGCAUACUGGAGUGCGACUGACAUUGAGGCACGAAAGUGUGGGUAUCGAACAGGAUUAGAUACCCCAGUAGUC
rnacentral:rRNA from 1 species